rnacentral:lncRNA from 1 species
UCUACUCAAGCAAAAUCUGUGUGGAAAGAUCCGCUGGGAAGGAACUGACUGCUUAUGUUUCUCCAUUGUGAUGAAAGCACAUGGUACAGGAUUCUAUCAUGUUCAGUAUUUAUGACAUCGGAAUGUACUCUGCAGAGAAGUGGUUCCGUCCAAAGCACCUUUUGAAUGGCUCAGGAAGAGCCGACAGCCCUUCUGCUUGAUUCAAGGGUCUUCGUAAUAACAGUGACCAGAAAGGAAAAUUCAAGAAAUGUGCAUGCUAG